CACCCAAACCCUUUCUCCCCUCACACGCACUCUUCCUCUUCCCGCUCUAGGCCUCUACCGUGAGUACCUAGCCCGAUGGUGCCACAAUCAUUCGCAUCGGCCUUGCCGACCUCAUCGCUACAACCAAUCUCAUCGCCUCCUUAAGGCCUUCGAUGCUGUCGAUGGUGUGGACUUUCCAUGCCCUCACCUCCCUCCCCAACCUCUCCUCAUCGGCCUUGCUCACCUCCGAUCCAUCUUCUAUUGGGAAUAGUA
rnacentral:lncRNA from 1 species